rnacentral:ribozyme from 1 species
UGCCCAGCAACUCAUAUCCCUACCUUCUCACGGUACUGGUCGGGAUACGAGUAACCUUAGGGAGGAUCAGGUAACCAACCGCCGCCCGGUGGGAACUUUGGUCGUAUAUUGACAGGGAAG